rnacentral:rRNA from 1 species
AUUGAACGCUGGCGGAAUGCUUUACACAUGCAAGUCGAGCGGCAGCGCGGGGGGCAACCCUGGCGGCGAGCGGCGAACGGGUGAGUAACAUAUCGGGAACGUACCCCGUCGUGGGGGAUAACACAGCGAAAGCUGUGCUAAUACCGCAUACGACCUGAGGGUGAAAGCGGGGGAUCGCAAGACCUCGCGCGAUGGGAGCGGCCGAUAUCGGAUUAGCUUGUUGGUGAGGUAAAGGCUCACCAAGGCGACGAUCCGUAGCUGGUCUGAGAGGACGACCAGCCACACUGGAACUGAGACACGGCCCAGACUCCUACGGGAGGCAGCAGUGGGGAAUUUUGGACAAUGGGCGCAAGCCUGAUCCAGCCAUGCCGCGUGCGGGA